AGUGAACGCUGGCGGCGUGCCUAAUACAUGCAAGUCGAACGGACAAGUAAGAGCUUGCUCUUAUGAGUUAGUGGCGCACGGGUGAGUAAUGUAUAGCUAAUCUGCCCUAUGCUGGAGGACAACAGUUGGAAACGACUGCUAAUACUCCAUACUCCUUCUUAACACAAGUUAAGUCGGGAAAGUUUUUCGGCAUAGGAUGAGACUAUAUUGUAUCAGCUAGUUGGUGAGGUAAUGGCUCACCAAGGCUAUGACGCAUAACUGGUCUGAGAGGAUGAUCAGUCACACUGGAACUGAGACACGGUCCAGACUCC
rnacentral:rRNA from 1 species